rnacentral:rRNA from 1 species
CAGUGGGGAAUUUUGGACAAUGGGGGAAACCCUGAUCCAGCCAUCCCGCGUGUGCGAUGAAGGCCUUCGGGUUGUAAAGCACUUUUGGCAGGAAAGAAACGUCAUGGGUUAAUACCCCGUGAAACUGACGGUACCUGCAGAAUAAGCACCGGCUAACUACGUGCCAGCAGCCGCGGUAAUACGUAGGGUGCAAGCGUUAAUCGGAAUUACUGGGCGUAAAGCGUGCGCAGGCGGUUCGGAAAGAAAGAUGUGAAAUCCCAGAGCUUAACUUUGGAACUGCAUUUUUAACUACCGAGCUAGAGUGUGUCAGAGGGAGGUGGAAUUCCGCGUGUAGCGGUGAAAUGCGCAGAUAUCAGGAGGAACACCGAUGGCGAAGGCAGGUCUCUGGGCUGUUACUGACGCUGAGGAGCGAAAGCAUGGGGAGCGAACAGGAUUAGAUACCCUGGUAGUCCAUGCCGUAAACGUUGGGCACUAGGUGUGGGGAACAUUCCACGUUUUCCGCGCCGUAGCUAACGCAUUAAGUGCCCCGCCUGGGGAGUACGGCCGCAAGGCUAAAACUCAAAGGAAUUGACGG